GGGGAUUUGGCUCAGUGGCAGAGCGCUUGCCUAGCAAGCGCAAGGCCCUGGGUUCAGUCCCCA
rnacentral:tRNA from 1 species